GGGGAUGUUUUGGUUUUGACAGCAUCUGACAUUGGAUGGUAAGCACGCCGGGCGUCGGUGGUUAGCCCGUUAAUCUCAGCCUCCAAACAAUUAGUUGGCAACAACAAUUAUGCACUCGCUGCCUAAUUUACCAAGUAAAUUAGCUUAAUCCCUGCCGCCAAGGCUGCGGCAGCGACGAGUAUCCCUCCGUUCUUUAGGCCGGUUAUGAAAGGAAACAGGGGUAUCAUCCAAACCGGAUGCGGUGGCAGACUCCUCUAAAGCCACUCAAGUCUCAGAGGAUAAGUCCACGGUGGCCCGUCUUCCGGCAGCCAUGGACCGACAACCAAAGGCAGACUAAGCGUGUAGAAAGCU
rnacentral:tmRNA from 1 species